rnacentral:lncRNA from 1 species
GUUUAUUUCAAAACAAUUUCAUCGCAUCCAUUAAAAAAAAGCUUUUACGAUUGCAUGUUGUUUUGAUUCUUUGUAAUGAAAACUAUAGUUGCUUUAUAGAACUGCAAUAUCAUCAUACGGUUUAUAAUAUUUAUUAUCAAUUUAUAUAAAGAAAAUUCGAGAACUCGUAAGUUGUUCAUAUAAUAUGUUAUGACACAAUUGAAUGAAUUAUUUCCCAGAGGGUAUCACCAGCCCAGUAGUCAGCAUUUUUUGUGCUGACAUGAAUUAUCAUUGAUAUGGUUAUAUUUAUAAAUUAACUGUUUACAAAAUUUAGAAUUUUUGAAAUACUAAGGCUUUUCUACCUCAGGCAUAGAUUAACUUAGCUGUUUUUGGCAAAACUUUUAGGAAUUUUGAUCCUCAAUGAUCUUCAACUUCAUACUUUAUCUGGCCUUUUUAACUUUUUGGGUUUCGAGCGUCACUGAUGAGUUGUUUGAAGACGAAACGCGCGUCUGGCGUAUAUGCAAAAUUUAGUCCUGAUAUCUAUAAUGAGUUUAUUUACAGUAAUAUCUUUACCUAAAAAAAAAUGCAAAUCAAAAGAAAAGUUAAUGAUUGCCAAACAAAUAAAACAACACAAUCUGGCAUGGCAUGUUUUGUCAAAGCUUUAGAUAUCGGUCACAGAAUACAUUCAUUCCACCAGGAAAAACAGACUGGUCGAAUGAAAAUGUUAUGUAGAGACAGGCCUGGUAAAUUUACAACACUUUAUAGUCAUAUCCAUUUAGACUUUACAUUUCUGUACUACAAAAUAAUAUAGCCUGUUUGGGUAAUAAAGUCGACCUUCUAAACAUAUGUUUCAACGUUAUAGAUUUGAUAUAAUGUAAAGAUAUAAAGAUAAUUGAUAAAUGUCACUCCUUACUACUAAAACUCUUCUAAAUAGAUAGAAAAUGUAUCUGCAAAACUAAUAGAUUGUAAUUUCUCUUAAAAGGAAAUCGAGAAACAAAAUGUUUCCGUUACAUGAAAAAUAAACCACAAGGAACAUCGGAAAUAAACAAACAAAAGAAUAACACAACCUUGCAAAAAAAAAAAAAAAAAAAAAAAAAGGGCGGCAAUUCAGAUGGUACCGUUUGGGUAAAUGAUACCCAUCUUAAGACAACUAUCGAUUUGAGAUAAAUUUUGUUGAACGAGAUAGGAAAGAAAGUACCUGCGUCAUACUCAUGAUACUGUCAUACGGGAAAAUUGUCAAUAUAUUUAUGUAUAGCAGAUUAAUGAGUCUGAUAGAUUUUUUGAUAUCUGGACUAAUUUUGGCGAUGCAUUUUGACAUUAUAAUUAUAUUAAUUCUUUUCUUCAAGUAAAGAUGAAAUAUUUAGAUCAUAAUUCUCUUUAGAUUUCAUUGUAAUAAUAUAAGAUGGGAACAUUCAGAUGAACAACAAAGGAAUUUAACUUGAAUGCACGCUUGUUGUUUCUCCAUUUGUGCUCAUUCAUUUUUGUUUUAUAAUGUUAUAUUUGAAAUAAAAUCGGUGCACUCGAUAUAGUUGAACCCUUUUCCUUAUGUUCUCUUUCACCUGAUAAGAAACCAAACCCCAGAAGAAAGAAAAAGUUCUUUCGAAGAAUCAACCCGGACGAUACCAUAUUUCAAUGAAAUAUGAUUUAAGGCAUAAACUAAUGACCUAUGUGAGGUCAAUAUUUUUCUUGAUAAAAAAUGCAAAAUAUAAUUUACUUCAACAUUUAAAUUAGUUUGAUAUUUUGUUGUUGACAAUUGGGGAAUUUAUUUUUUAAAGUUCCAUUGUUGAUAAGUUUAACAAUAUAUCGUCAUUGACGCGCAUUUUAACUUGAAAAAAAAUGUGAAGUGUUGUUAAUUCAUCGCUUCAAUAAAGCGACAUUAUCAAAUAUAUGAGAUAUUCGUUUUUGUGUUACAUGUCAUUGAUCUUGAUUGCAUACCGUCUUCGUAUCAGUUCUUAACAUUUUAAAUGAAUAUUAUACGUUUCACUCUAUCAAAUGAUCACCAAUAACAGCCAUGUACCUCACAAAAAGCUGGGAAGUAUAAUGUCGACACUGAUUUUCUGUGUAAAAAUAUAUUGCCAUUCAAAAAUAUACUAUUUUGAAUUGUUCAUUCGUUGAAAAUUGUUGAAAAAAUAAUCAUUUUUUCCGAUAUAAAUUUCUUUACAAUUUGUUUUGUGAGAAGCAUUGAUUGAUUAAAUAGGGAAGCAUUGAGUCGCAAGAUCGGGCAGUCAGUGUAUUUUUCCUUCACCGUUAUCGGAUGGUAACAAUUCAUUUGUGCCUUACCUCAUGCAGUGACAAUAAUAAUUUUAUUGUGUCUGGAUAAUAAUUUUCCUACGUUUAUAUCUAGAUUAAUUGAUGAGUUUUAUAUCACAUUCUAUAAGAGCCGUAUGGCGUACUAAAACCUGAACGUAUCAGAAUGGAAUAUCCAACUUUAGUUUGGUCGGUAAAAUAAGAUACUAAUUCUGCAAAUCUUUGUAGAAAAUAAUAUUUUUUAUGGUAUAUGAGUCAGCUAAUGCAUAUUUUAAGGUUUUUCUUGUCAUGGAACACACCGAGGAGUGUCAGGAUUGCCCAAAGAAAGACCUCUCUAUGGACGAAAUCAGUAUUGAAACAGUACUGAAAAAAUCAGUACUAAAUUUAUAGAAUUUGUAGUUGUACCGUUUUUGUAUGAUAAUAAAAAGUACCGAAUUAAUAGAAAACAUAAAAUUACAAGUUUUCAGUGUUGCCGAACAGUACUGAUAUAUACGAUGAUAGAAAUGUACACAAAAAAACGUGGGUACAUUCUUGGUAGUGUAUAACAGACAUCAAACGCACGUGAAGGUAUUCACUGAAAAUAUAUAAAUAGUCCUAGCUAUAUAUAUACUGUACGCGAAAGCGUGAUAAGCAUACACUGUAUCUUCGUGAACAUAUAGCAAAACUUCUUUUGUCUAAUGAUAAAGUCGAAGUAUUGUUUAAAGGGGCAAAUAUGUAGGAUAAUGUAGAUAAAGUUUAUCCACAAAACAAUUCAACACUUGAUAAAAAAAAA